rnacentral:rRNA from 1 species
UACUGAGAACUUCUAUAAAAAUUAUAGAACUUUUUAUGCUAAAACUAGUAACAAGAGGUAAUCCCUCUCUACAAUGUAGGUAUACGCCAGCAAGAACCCACCACUGACAACUAACAGACCUAAAUAAAAGUAGUAACCUCCCAAGAAAAUCCUACUCCACCCAACUGUUAACCUAAUACCAGAACACUUCAAGAAAGAUUAAAAGAAAGAGAAGGAAUUCGGCAAAUAUUAGUCCCGCCUGUUUACCAAAAACACCGCCUCUUGGCCCCCCAUAAGAGGUCUAGCCUGCCCAGUGACUUCUGUUCAACGGCCGCGGUAUCCUAACCGUGCAAAGGUAGCGUAAUCACUUGUCUUCUAAAUAAAGACCAGUAUGAAAGGCAUCACGAGGACUAAACUGUCUCCUCUCCCUAAUCAGUGAACCUAAUAACCCCGUGAAGAAGCGGGGAUUUUUAUAUAUGACGAGAAGACCCUAUGGAGCUUAAAACAUCAUAACACCUGCCACACACCUAUUUACCCCGGUUCUCCUCCCCGUGACACCCUGAUUAUAUGUUUUUGGUUGGGGUGACCGCGGAGAAAAACCCAUCCUCCACAAUGAAAGGGACUUCCCUAAACAGUAGGCCACAGCUUUAUGUAUCAGCAAACUGACAUCCA